CCAAUUUUUUUUUUUGAAACGGUUAAAAAACACAAAUAUUUAUUUUUAUUAUUUUAUGUUUGAAAUACCGUCCAACCAGAAAUACUGUCCAACCAUCGAACCCAAGAAUCCCCCCCCCCAUGGGUUUUUUCCGCAUUUUUUGGAAAAUAAUGUAAUAAAUGUCCACACACCCACACUUUACACCCCUCUUCACUCCACCCCUCCCUCCUUUGUGAUUGAAAAUGAGAGUCCCUUCACCUUUAAAAAGAAAAAGAUGAGCGGUCUGCACCCGCAAGGCGGUGUUCUUGUUUUACAUUUGACAUGAAUGUUCUGCACUUCAAAAUGACAUGAUAAUGUCUCAAGUGUCAUUAUUAAAUUAGCACUAUUAAGGGUAAGCAUGAAUACAUAGUAACAUUUAUUUGCUUUAGCCCCACAGUUUCUGCUUUGUGCAAUAAACAGUCUUGUUUGAAUUACUAGCACAAUAAUAAAUUAUUAAACAUGUUUCAUUUUCCAUUAAAGUCCACUAAAAGAAUUAUAAUGUAUAUAAUCUUCAUUCCAGUCCACAAACCAUAUCUCUAUGAGAAAUUCUCAGUCAUACUCAAAAUAAGUUUCAAUCAAACAGUGUGUUGAACAAAUAAGAGUGUGUUAAACAAGUACCUCUUUUGUACCAAACAUGCAUCAAUACUGAGGUCUGCUUUCCCAUGUACAGCCAAGUUCAUCCAUCAAUACAUUUUAAGUUGCACUUCUUGCUAGAUGAUUUUCUCGGCCACAUUCCGAAGUCACUGUGUCCAAAAUUUAUACAUGUACCCACCAACAACAAAACUUGUUCAUUCAUGAUGUUUAAAAAAGGUAUAUAUUGAUAGAAUUAUACUGUUGAAAUUAAAUAUUUCACCAUCACCAGCCUAGUGGUUAAAAAGCACCUUAUAUCCCACUGUAGCACCUUUAUUUUAUGGUUAUAAUUUAAAGGUAUCCUAUGAAAAAUCACCUGUAUAUGGUAUACACCUUAAAAUAAACACUUCAUUUAAACAGGUAAAUUGUUAUUUGUUAACCAAGGUUGAUGGUGUUGUAUGGCAUAUUAUGAACUUGGAGACUUUUGUAAGGCAACACACACUCGCAGACCUAUCUAAUGCAACACUUUGCAAACUUUAAUAUCUCAGUUAUAAGAAGAGAUUUUGGUUUUACAUGUGAUCACUUGACUACAUUCUUUGCAAGCUUUGAUAUAAUCAUUCAUUCAUGACUGUUGGACACUAUCACGUGGAGUUGGUAACCUGCAACAUUCCAAUGACCUGGUUGUGUUCUUGAAUAUUCUUACGAGCCAUAUUGCUUUUUGAAUUGACUUUAUUUUUGCCUCCUGUAUAAACCCACUUAAAUUCAUGAUAGUUAAAAAAAUUAUAAUGAUAUUGCAUUUUACCAUUUCCACGUGCAAAAAGAAUCAUUCCUACCCCACGUGCUACAGCUACCAAUUGUCAGGGAUAAAAGAAGCAUUCCUACCCCACGUGCUACAGCUACCAACUGUCAGGGAUAAAAGAAUCAUUCCUACCCCACGUGCUACAGCUACCAAUUGUCAGGCAUAAAAGAAUCAUUCCUACCCCACAUGCUACAGCUACCAAUUGUCAGGGAUAAAGGAAUCAUUCCUACCCCACGUGCUACAGCUACCAAUUGUCAGGGAUAAAGGAAUCAUUCCUACCCCACGUGCUACAGCUACAAAUUGUCUGGGAUAAAGGAUUUUUUCCUGAGCUUGCACAGAAUCUCACUUAUGAGUGAGAUAUUAAAGUUUGAAAGUUUUGCCUCAAAAAGUCUUCAAGUGUAGUUUCUAAGUAUUUUUCAUGCUAUUGAACUGAUCUUGAAUGCGCGUUGGGACCAAAUAUAGAAAGAUUAGUUCUCCAAGAUCAUAAAAUAUUAUGUAUUGCAUGUAUUGAAACAGUAGGAGUAUAUUAUUCACAUGUAGAUUUAUAAUGCUACGCAAAUAUGGAAUGUGUUGUGUCACAUUAUUUCCAUUUAAAUGUUUAUUCUCAUUUUCAUUUUGUUAUAUUUACUCAAGCAGACUGUUGUAUUUGAGAAACUAACUUGUUUCUUAAGCUAUGUGCUAAACAUUGAAUCUCAUUUGAAAAAAAAAUGUGUUGUGUAGGAAAGGUUUUUAUACGCCCGUAUAAAAUACGGGACGUAUUAUGUGAAACCCCGCGGCGGGCGGCGGGCGGCGGGCGGCGGGCGGCGGGCGGAAGGCAUCACUUUGUCCGGACUCUAAUUCAAAUUGUAUUCAUCCGAUCUUCACCAAACUUGGUCAGCAGUUGCAUCUAGUUGAUAUCUAGGCCAAGUUCGAAUAUGGGUCAUGCCGGGUCAAAAACUAGGUCAUAGGGUCAAUUAGUGCAUUUUCAACGGCGCCACUUUGUCCGGACUCUAAUUCAAAUUGUAUUCAUCCGAUCUUCACCAAACUUGGUCAGCAGUUGCAUCUAGUUGAUAUCUAGGCCAAGUUCGAAUAUGGGUCAUGCCGGGUCAAAAACUAGGUCAUAGGGUCAAUAAGUGCAUUUUCAAAGGGGCCACUUUGUCCGGACUCUAUUUCAAAUUGUAUUCAUCCGAUCUUCACCAAACUUGGUCAGCAGUUGCAUCUAGUUGAUAUCUAGGCCAAGUUCGAAUAUGGGUCAUGCCGGGUCAAAAACUAGGUCAUAGGGUCAAUUAGUGCAUUUUCAACGGCGCCACUUUGUCCGGACUCUAAUUCAAAUUGUAUUCAUCCGAUCUUCACCAAACUUGGUCAGUAGUUGCAUCUAGUUGAUAUCUAGGUCAAGUCCGAAUAUGGGUCAUGCUGGGUCAAAAACUAGGUCAAAGGGUCAAUUAGUGCAUUUUACUUUGUCCGGACUCUAAUUCAAAUUGUAUUCAUCCGAUCUUCACCAAACUUGGUCAGCAGUUGCAUCUAGUUGAUAUCUAGGCCAAGUUCGAAUAUGGGUUAUGCCGGGUCAAAAACUAGGUCACAGGGUCACUUAGUGCAUUUCAAGCAUUAAGCAUGGUGUCCGCUCUCUAAUUGAAUUAGUUUUUUUCCAAUCUUCACCAAACUUGGUCAGAAGUUGUAUCUGGACAAUGUCUAGGUCAAGUUCGAAUAUGGGUCAUGCCGGGUCAAAAACUAGGUAACGGGGUCACUAAGUGCAUUUCAAGCAUUUAGCAUGGUGUCGGCUCUCUAAUUGAAGUAGUUUUCAUCCGAUCUUCACCACAUUUGGUCAGAAGUUGUGUCUAGACAAUAUCUAGGUCAAGUUCAAAUAUGGGUCAUGUCAGGUCAAAAACUAGAUCACGAGGUCACUUAGUGCAUUUCAAGCAUUAAGCAUGGUGUCCGCUCUCUAAUUGAAGUAGUUUUCAUCUGAUCUUCACCAAAUUUGGUCAGAAGUUGUGUCUAGAUGAUAUGUAGGUCAAGUUCAAAUAUGGGUCAUGGUAAAGUUAUCAAGUUGUCCAAAACCUUCAAACGGGCGUAUCUUGUGACAGUUUGGCACUCUUGUUUAUGUUUCUCAUCUAUGUAUAUGUUAUCACAAAUACACAAAUCCUUGUUGGUUGUUGCAUUUAAUAUAAAUAGUGUAUAUGUUAUUACAAAUACACAAAUCCUUGUUGGUUGUUGCAUUGAAUAAGACCAACAAUUUAAAAUUGCCAGGAACUGAAAUGUUUUCUUUUUUACACAAAUUUGUGAAUUGUUUAAAUAUAAGGUUGUCUUUAUUCUGUCAAUACUUAGUGCAUAGUAUGCAAUAUUCAGUGAUGGGUUUAUUUAAAACAAAUCUGUAUCUGUCAUUUAUAUUGCAUUUUAUAAUAAUGCUCAUGGAAAAAAAUUGUUUUAUGUUAAAAUAUUUUUAGCUCACCUGUCACGGAGUUACAUGAUGAGCUUAUGUGACUGUAUGAUGUCUGGCGUCCGUUGUGUGUGCGUGCAUGUGUGCGUGCGUCUGUCCGUCAACAAUUUGUUUGUGUAGACAGAAGAGGUCACAGUUUUCAUCAAAUCUUUAUGAAAUUUGGUCAAAAUGUUUAUCUUGAUGAAAUCUGGGUUGGGAUUGUAUUUGGGUCAUCUGGGAUCAAAAACUAGGUCACUAGGUCAAAAACUAGGUCACAUUAUAGGUCAAAUAAUAGAAAAACCUUGUGUAGAUAAUAGAGGUUGCAGUUUUCAUCCAAUCUUUAUGAAAUUUGGUCAGAAUGUUUAUCUUGAUGAAAUCUGGGUUGGGAUUGUAUUUGGGUCAUCUGGGUCAAAAACUAGGGCACUAGGUAAAAAACUAGGUCAAAUAAUAGAAAAACCUUGUGUAGACAGUAGAGGUCACAGUUUUCAUCCAAUCUUUAUGAAAUUUGGUCAGAAUGUUUAUCUUGAUGAAAUCUGGGUUGGGAUUGUAUUUCGGUCAUCUGGGGUCAAAAACUAGGUCACUAGGUCAAAAACUAGGUCAAAUAACAGAAAAACCUUGUGUAAACAGUAGAGGUCACAGAUUUCAUCCAAUCUUUAUGAAAUUUCGUCAGAAUGUUUAUCUUGAUUAAAUCUGGGUUGGGAUUGUAUUUGGGUCAUCUGGGGUCAAAAACUAGGUCACUAGGUCAAAAACUAGGUCAAAUAAUAGAAAAACCUUGUGUAGACAAUAGAGGUCGCAGUUUUCAUCCAAUCUUUAUGAAAUUUGGUCAGAAUGUUUAUCUUGAUGAAAUCUGGGUUGGGAUUGUAUUUUGGUCAUCUGAGGUCAAAAACUAGUUCACAAGGUAAAAUAAUAGAAAAACCUUCAACAAUUUGUUUGUGUAGACAGUAGAGAUCACAGUUUUCAUCCAAUCUUUAUGAAAUUUGGUCAGAAUGUUUAUCUUGAUGAAAUCUGAGUUGGGAUUGUGUUUGGGCCAUCUGGGGUCAACAACUAGGUCACUAGGUCAAAAACUAGGCCACUAGGUCAUAUAAUAGAAAAACCUUGUUUAGACAAUAGAGGUCACAGUUUUCAUCCAAUCUUUAUGAAAUUUGGUCUGAAUGUUUAUCUUGAUGAAAUCUGGGUUGGGAUUGCAUUUGGUUAGUCAGGUGAGCCAUUCAGGGCCAUCAUGGCCCUCUUGUUAAUUGAUACCAGCAUGAAAUUUGGGAGUAGAAUCAAAGUUAAACAGGCUAGUCUAGAGCUAUGCUGGCUGCAUAUGGCAUUACACUCAUUUUUGUAUGAUGUAACUCAAAUUAUGAACUACAUUACAAACUAUGGUACACUCGCCUAACUCACCAACUUCAAACUUAUAAUAGGGAACUUUAUUUUGAUUUGUUGAUCUGUUUAAUGAGUUACACACAUUUCAUGGAAAUUUUAGUCUUAUGUAAUACACUUGUGCUGCAUGGAAACUAACAUAUAAUUUUGUUUGAUAUUUGGUUGUAAAUUUAUUUACUAGGGUUUUAUUUUUAUUUCAUCUGUUAAGAAAUCCAUUUAUGACAUGUUUCUUGAAAUCCGAAACAAAUGUUUUGCAGAAAAUACUAAACAGCAUGGUGCAAAUUUACUAAAUGUACUCAACAAAUGUCUGUUUACAUUAUGGCUUGAAAAAGGUAAAGUUGAUCAUGAUAAUUGCUUGGUGAACAUUACAUGCUGUAGAGAUUAACUAUAUUUGAAUUGUCCUCACAAUCACUUUGUAUUUGAUUGCUUAUAUAAAAAAAUAGUUUUAAGUGAACUAAACUCUGGUCAUUUGAAACUACUUGCAGUCAAUAUUUUGAAAUAAACAUAAGUUGUUUUAUUAUGCUCCCCCAAUUUUUUUUGGGAAAGCAAAUAGUCGCCGCUUCAUCUGUCCGUGUGUGUGUCCGUCCAUGCACAAUUUUUGUCCGGGCUAUUUCUCAGCAAUUAAUGACCGGAAUUCAAUUAAACUUUAUGGGAAGCUUUACUACCAAGAGGAGAUGUGCAUAUUAUAAGCCGGUUCUAGUCGGAUGAUUUUUCACAGAGUUAUGGCCCUUUGAAAUUUUCUAUAAACUGUACAUAUAGUGCAAUUCUUGUCCCCCCAACUACUAGAUGUUUCCUUUUAUCUGAGUAUAUAGUGCAAUAUUGUGACAAAAAACAACCUUUGGGGAGCAUCACCCCUCUCCGACGGUUUCUUGUUUCUAAUAUUGGCCACAUUUUUGUGAAAAUAAGCAUCAUUCUUUCAUUUAUAAUGAUUUUUGUGAAAGCAACAGCAUUUCAUAUAUUAUGUACUGCAAAAUUCAUUUUACAUUUGUUUUUAUUGUUAACAAAUAUUUUGUAGAAAAUUAUUAUGAAUGUAUCAUUACAUAUUGCACGAGGUUGUGGGAUUUAUUUGAAUACAUGUAUAUACCAUUUCAUGCUUAUAUUUGGAGAAUCCUUUGUUAAUUGUGAUUUUAUAUAUAAAUGUGUAUUAAUGGUCCAUACAUGCUGUUCUGAAAAAAAUGAAUAAUAUCAGAAGGUGACUGUCUUGUCUUGGUUGUGUGGUCCUUAAAGAAAACGGUUUUGAAAUCAAUUUGCCUAUAAAUUAAUCAUUUAAUGUCUAAAAUUGUGCUAAUGAACAAAAGCCAUGCGCUGGUUUCAGAAUAUUUUUAUGGGUUCUUUAUUUAAGAGGAAAGUUCAUUUAAUUGCACAAAUCAUGAAAGAAAUUUCAGCAAAUUUUUCUUUAUUGAUUUCUUCACAGACAUUAUUUUGAAAGUGUAAUCCCUAAAUAUGUGUAACAAUAAAUAGUUGAUAUGUUUUAAGGUAGUGCACCUCUAAUGAUUUCCCGCGAUUUCUUCGAAGGUUGAAGAGCCUACUAUUAGGUGCCGUAGCCUAGUGGUUAAGGCGAUAGACUAGAAAUCUUUUGGGAUAUUCCCGCGCAGGUUCGAAUCCUGCCGACGACGUAUACUUUUUUGCGACGCGUUUUAUUUAUUUUCUAACGUAAUUUGAUUUAAUAUGGCAUAUAAGCUAUAUUUAUUGUUAAAUAUGUUGCAAUUUUUAUGCACAUUUUUCAAUUAUUAAAAUUAAAACAACGUUAUGGCGAAAUUGGGUGAUUUACUGUUGAAAAUACGAACCAUGCAUGUUGCAUUUUUAUUUUUAUUUCAAAAAGUAAACGGUAAAUCUGUCUAGUUCUUGGUAUUUUUGCUGUAUAUAGUGUUUCUAUAAAAACUAAGUUUAAAAUAUGACUUAAAUGAUACUAUUUUGAAUUUUAUGACACUUUGUUUUUAACCGACCCAAUUUUUACUUGGCUGAAAUCACUUACAUUUCAUGGUGCUCUUCCAUAGAUAAAAAUUUGUAAAAAAUAAAUGUCUGUAAAAGAAUACUUAUUUCAUCUUGUUUAAACUUUAAACACCUUUACAGCAUCUGUACACACCAACUGCAUGCCCAUAUUUGGAAAUUUGAAUGAAUUAUGGAACUUUUAUAUACCCCAGGGGUGAAAAUAAACUGGGCAAAAGCCGAGCGUGGGGGUGGUUUUGAAAAAAUCGGUAUAUUUUUUUAAAAAGCAUGGAAAGCCUACCUACAAAUUUGCAUGUAGUUCAGUGAAAUGAUGCUGAUUAAGAAAAUAAUUAAUUAGAUUAUAUUUGGAUAUGUGCCCAUUAGAGGUGCACUACCUUAAGUUACUUCCAAUUUCAUGCCUUGUUGGACAGCUAGGAUUUUCUGUUUAAAGGUUAAAUUUGCUUAUUAUAAAUGAAAGGAAUAAUAUUUGAACAGUUUAUAUAUUUUGCAAAAUCAAUGAAUUCUGUUAUAUGUACAAAAGCUUUAUAUUAAUUACUCUUAUUGGCUUUGUUGAUUUCUACGAUAAGAUCUCUUUAUUUGUUGUUAUUUCUAUCUAGUCUUUCAGUUCUUUUUUGUUUGUUUCUUUGUUAUUUUUUUGUUAAACCUAAAAUGCAUUAAAUGAACAAAUUGUAUUAUGCUGUAUUUUCAAUUAGAUUGCAAUUUACAAUGUGCAAAUUAUAUAUAUUCAUAUGGAGAAAUAUUUACAGAAUCUCCUACUUUCCAGACAUUCCGAUGUUAACUUGCUUGUGGAAAAGAAAUGUAAAUAGUAAAUUAAUACAUAUUCUAUCUUGUAGUCAAAUCUAUUUCGGGACAAUUAUUGAUACGGAGGUUACAUAGUUUUAAGACGUAAAUGUUGCAUUUCAAUAGAAACCUAUCAGAAUUUAAGUGUGUUUGGUAGUACAAUAGAGCAGCAGUUAGAAUUCAAUACAAAUGAAUGUCAAGCCUAUGAAAGACAGUUGGUCUUACAACAGACUUGAGCAUUGUUUAAAUUCGGUGCCAGAUAUACAGUAUAUAUGUGUUGCAUUGGAUCUUGGACACAAGUAGCUUGUAUUAUAUCUUAAACGAUACUACCUCACUGUAGAGGUUAAGCACUACUUCUGCCAUACUAAUACUUUGUUCUGCAUCUAUUGCAUAGUAUUUAUUGCUACCAUAAAUAUAUGCUCUUUGAGUGGAAUUUUUUCUUCGGUUACCGGGUACUUGCUUUCCCGUGUAUUUUGAAUAAUUAUUGAUUGAAGACAUAAUUUAUGUGUUAAAUAAAUGUUGGGACCUUCCUCUUUCUCAGAAUAUGAUGUUAAUAAAAUAGACCUUCAAAAAGAGUGGGUAUGUGACUGUUAUUUAUGAUUUAUUGAAGACUUUAGUAGAUGAAAAUAUAUAUAUGUAAUACCCUUUCACAUCUAUAAUAAAUAUUUAAGUUUGAUGCAUGUAACAAACAUAUAACAAACAGUUUUUGUGGACAAAGCAAGACAACAGUGUUAAUAAGAUCUGAUUUUGUGUUUGUACAAUUAGAUGAAUGUAAAAUUUUAGCACAGAUGAUUACAGCUUGCUGAUGAACAGAGUGGAUAUGUCCCCUCAAUGGAUCCAAUGUGUACAUUUCAAUAUUAAAUUGAAUGCUGGGAAAUAAUUUGUUCAAACACAACAAAUUUGUACAAAAUAGUGGCAAUUACAAUUAUGCCAAAAUGAACAUAUUUUAUUUAUUUUUGUGUUGAACAAAUGAUGAAAUUAUUAUAAUUAUAGCUGCUAUUUAUGCUUGUAGAUUAAUUGUUUAAAAGAUGAUGAUUGUGACUUGUAGAACUAGAUCUUUGCAGUCUAUGGAUUACUGUUACAUGCAUUAUGAUAGCUGUGUAUCUCUUAGGUGGUAUGGAAUAAAUUAUUGUUAUAUAUGGA